rnacentral:rRNA from 1 species
GACGAACGCUGGCGGCGUGCUUAACACAUGCCAGUCUGGGGGCGGGGCGACCCUUCACCGGCGAACGGGUGCGGAACACGUGAGCGACCUGCCCUGUGUGUGGGGGAUAGCCGGCCCAACGGCCGGGUAAUACCGCAUACGUCCCGCGCUUGGAGGCGCUGGGAGAAAGCCCGGAAGGGCGCACGAGGAGGGGCUCGCGGCCUAUCAGCUAGUUGGGGGGGUAACGGCCCACCAAGGCGACGACGGGUAGCUGGUCUGAGAGGAUGGCCAGCCCCAUUGGGACUGAGAGACGGCCCAGACUCCUACGGGAGGCAGCAGUGGGGAAACUGGCGCAAUGGGCGAAAGGCUGACGCAGCGACGCCGCGUGGAGGAUGAGGCCCUUCGGGGUGUAAACUCCUGUGGCUCGGGACGAACGGCGGGCAUCGGCCCGCUUGACGGUACCGGGUGAGGAAGCACCGGCUAACUCUGUG